UACGGAGGGUGCAAGCGUUAUCCGGAUUUACUGGGUUUAAAGGGUGCGUAGGCGGAUUUGUAAGUCCGAGGUGAAAUCUCCGAGCUUAACUCGGAAACUGCCUUGGAUACUAUAAGUCUUGAAUGACGUUGAGGUUAGCGGAAUAUGUCAUGUAGCGGUGAAAUACUUAUAUAUGACAUAGAACAUCUAUUGCGAAGGCAGCUAACUAAACGUAUAUUGACGCUGAUGCACUAAAGCGUGGGGAUCAAACCGG
rnacentral:rRNA from 1 species